ensembl:lncRNA hemicentin-2-like
GGUCAUACUAUCAGCUAGUUGCACAUGUUUCUAAGUGCGUGUGUGUGUAUUUUUUCACCAACACCCAAAACUGUCAAAAGUCCUGCAUUACACAGCGUAGCAUAAUCAUAUUUGAGGUAUACAGUUGUAUAAAAGAAAAUCAUUGCUCUUCAACAAUGUCUGCUUCCCUCUUUGUGGUCAUACUGGGUGAGUUACUCAACACAAACUGAACUGCAGUACACUUACUAUUUUUUACAACUACUUGAUCUCUUUUUCCUCUCUACAGGGUUGUACUACUGUAGCAAGGAGAGCUGUAAGUCAGUUGUAUUGUUAGUGUGUAUCACUUUUGUGUACAAUUGUGUGGCUCCUGGUUUUUUUUGUAGUAUUUGUGCAGUUUUGUUUUAUUUUAUUUUCAUUUUUUGAUAGAUCAGUCAACUCUGGGGCGCCCAGAACUUAUUGGCCCUACAGAGGCUUUGGUGAAAAGGGUUGUAGAUUUUUAUUGUGAACUGAAAAUCUCCCCAGAGAAUGUAGCUAUCCUGCUGCAGUUAUUUAAGGUGGAUAAAAGUCCCAAGUUGUUGGGCGAAUACACCUCCCUGGAUAGGGAGGUUGCAGUCUUCCCCAUGGUAAUCAAACCUUCCCAUGAAGGCAACCUAACGUGUGUGGCCAAGGCACAGAACAACUCUAACAUAGAGCCCACUGUCAGCGACACACAGUACCUGAAGGUUGUUGAACCGGUGAAGGGUGCAAAGAUUGUCGUCCCUUCAGGCCAAGUGGAGUUUUUUGAGGGGAAGACACUGGAGCUACGCUGUAAACCUACUGUUGGAAAUCAUGUCUCCUACUCGUGGAUGCUGAAUGGUCAGCUUGUCUCUCAAUCUCGUCUCCUCUAUGUUGCAGAUGACUAUCUCUUGAUCAAGAGAACUACUUCUCAAGAUAGCGGCUCCUACAUGUGUGUCGCCACCAACGAAUUCAACAAAACAGACGUCUUUACCGCCAACAGCUCUGAAGUUGUAAUCACAGUGAAAGACCUGGUGUCUAUCCCUGACAUCUCCUUUACCGUGUUAAAGGAAGAUUCCCACAACUAUUCAGCCAUGGUCGCCUGUCAGACAACCAAAGGGACUCCACCUGUCACCUUUUCACUGUACAACAGGAGAGGAUCGGUUGACAAUGUGACGGUUGAUAAGAGAGAUGUCACAUUUAAGGUUCCAAUGGUCUUGGGCCGGCACUUGGGAUGGCUCCAGUGCCAGGCAAACAAUGGAGAUGGGAUCGAGUACAGUCAAUGGAUUUCCUUAGAAGUUGUUCCUGUUGGUGGGCCUGUGACGAUGCGUUACGACUAUGACAUUGGAGAAAACUAUGCCGUGAUCAGCCUGAGGUUCUACUGCAAGGCAGCGAAGGGAUCUCUCCCACGGUACCAAUGGUUCCUCAACAAAACCCUCCUGCAUGACCGAGGAAGCUUCUACUACGUGGUCAACCAGCCUCCAGAAGAGUCUGUACUCAUCCUGUCUGUAGGGAGGAGCAGCACUGGAUCGUACCACUGUGAAGUGUCGGACAGCUUUGACAACACCACCGCCAUAAGCAGCAAGAUGCUGUAUUUGGAUAAAGAAGAGCUGAAUCGUCUCCGCUCCUUGGUGGUGGUAGUUGUCUUUGGAUGUUUCACAUUCCUGGUUCUUCUGGUCUCCAUUUGUUUGUGCAUUGGAGCGAAGUCCAGUCAAAGGCAGCUUGGAGAGAAGUCUCUGAUUUCUCAGAGUACGAUGAGGAUGCUGAUGUAGUGAAGAUGGCCAGAGGUGGUGAAUUUGAUCAGGCAUCUGAAGUCUCUGUAGAUGAAUGGCCCCAAAUUGAAGAAGUGAAGAAAAUGUUGGAGGAUGAACCAGUUGAGGGACCCUGAGGGUUCAAACUGUUAUAAACACAGGCUGUGGUUGUUUAAUAAACAUUGGCUCAAGAUGUUCUGUGCUGUCACGUUUUUUCAGAAUAAUGAAUUAUUAUUCUUUCUAAAGUAUGUGUGCUGGUAGUAGUAAUAGCAGUCACUAUGGAAGCCCAUAGUAAAAGGAAAAAAAAAUCAAACAAGAUGAAAACUUAGCCUUGUGAUAAAAAAAAGUAAUUAUAAUACCAAACAUUCUCAGAAUAUUUGAGUUAGUAUCUCAAAAUACUGAGUUAGUAUGUCAGAAUAAUGAGUUAGUAUCUCAUAAAUAAUGAGUUAGUAUCUCAAAAUAAUGAAUUAGUAUCUCAGAAUAGUGACUUAGUAUCUCAGAAUAAUGACUUAGUAUCUCAGAAUAAUGACUUAGUAUCUCAGAAUAAUGAGUUAGUAUCUCAGAAUAAUGAG